rnacentral:rRNA from 1 species
CGGAGGGUGCGAGCGUUGUCCGGAAUCACUGGGCGUAAAGGGCGCGUAGGUGGCGCGGGCAGUCAACGGUGAAAGCUCGGGGCUCAACCCCGAGUCGGCCGUCGAUACUCCCGUGCUGGAGCACUGUAGAGGCAGGUGGAAUUCCGGGUGUAGCGGUGGAAUGCGUAGAGAUCCGGAAGAACACCGGUGGCGAAGGCGGCCUGCUGGGCAGUAGCUGACACUGAGGCGCGACAGCGUGGGGAGCAAACAGGAUUAGAUACCCUGGUAGUCCACGCCGUAAACGAUGGGCACUAGGUGCUUGGGGGAGCGACCCUCUGAGUGCCGGCGCUAACGCAUUAAGUGCCCCGCCUGGGGAGUACGGCCGCAAGGCUG